ensembl:snoRNA small nucleolar RNA, H/ACA box 2C
UUGGCCCUGAAUCAAGGCUGGUGGCUUGCUGUAGCCUCUGGUUUCAAGCAGGAGCCCAAAGAAGUGACUUUCUAUGGUCUGUUGGCUGUUCCAUAACUUCAGAAUUAAACUGGAACAGUCAAUUCAGUUGGAAGCAACAAUG